rnacentral:rRNA from 1 species
GGGAAUAUUGUGCAAUGGAGGCAACUCUGACCCAGCAACGCCGCGUGAAUGAAGAAGGCCUUCGGGUUGUAAAGUUCUUUAAUGGGGGACGAAGAAAGUGACGGUACCCCAAGAAUAAGCCACGGCUAACUACGUGCCAGCAGCCGCGGUAAUACGUAGGUGGCAAGCGUUGUCCGGAAUGACUGGGCGUAAAGGGAGCGUAGGCGGCGCGGUAAGUUAGGAGUGAAAUCCCGGGGCUCAACCCCGGAACUGCUUUUAAAACUGCCGUGCUUGAGUGAUGGAGAGGAAAGCGGAAUUCCUAGUGUAGCGGUGGAAUGCGUAGAUAUUAGGAGGAACACCAGAGGCGAAGGCGGCUUUCUGGACAUUAACUGACGCUGAGGCUCGAAAGCGUGGGGAGCAAACAGG